UAAGUCAGGGACUACCUAUACUAAAAUUGGAACAAUACAGAGAAAAUUAGCAUGGCCCCUGAGCAAGGAUAACAUCCAAAUUCGUGAAGCAUUCCAUACUUUU